rnacentral:rRNA from 1 species
AACGAACGCUGGCGGCGCGCCUAAUACAUGCAAGUCGAGCGAGAAGACGUAGCAAUACGUUUGUAAAGCGGCGAACGGGUGAGGAAUACAUGGGUAACCUACCCUCGAGUGGGGAAUAACUAGCCGAAAGGUUAGCUAAUACCGCAUACGACUCUCGGUCUGCGGAUCGAGAGGGAAAGCGAUACCGUGGGUAUCGCGCUCCUGGAUGGGCUCAUGUUCUAUCAGCUUGUUGGUGAGGUAACGGCUCACCAAGGCUUCGACGGGUAGCUGGUCUGAGAGGACGAUCAGCCACACUGGCACUGCGACACGGGCCAGACUCCUACGGGAGGCAGCAGUAAGGAAUAUUGCGCAAUGGGCGACAGCCUGACGCAGCGACGCCGCGUGGGGGAUGAAGGUCUUCGGAUUGUAAACCCCUUUCGGCAGGGAAGAUGGAACGGGUAACCGUUCGGACGGUACCUGCAGAAGCAGCCACGGCUAACUUCGUGCCAGCCGCCGCGGUAAGAC